rnacentral:rRNA from 1 species
AUUGAACGCUGGCGGCAGGCCUAACACAUGCAAGUCGAACGAGUGGCGGACGGGUGAGUAAUGUCUGGGAAACUGCCUGAUGGAGGGGGAUCACUACUGGAAACGGUAGCUAAUACCGCAUACCAUCAGAUGUGCCCAUUUGGGAUUGGCUUGUUGGUGGGGUAACGGCUCACCAAGGCGACGAUCCCUAGCUGGUCUGAGGGGAGGACAAGCAACACGGGAACUGAGAAACGGUCCAGACGCCGACGGGAGGCAGCAGUGGGGAAUAUGGCACAAUGGGCGCAAGCGUGAGGCAGCCAUGCCGCGUGUAUGAAGAAGGCCUUCGGGUUGUAAAGUAUGUUCAGCGGGGAGGCGUUACCCGCAGAAGAAGCACCGGCUAACUCCGUGCCAGACGCCGCGGUAAUUC